UACACAUGCAGUCGAGCGGAAGGCCCUUCGGGGUACUCGAGCGGCGAACGGGUGAGUAACACGUGAGCAACCUGCCCCAAGCUUUGGGAUAACCCUCGGAAACGGGGGCUAAUACCGAAUAGGACUGCUGGCCGCAUGGCUGGUGGUGGAAAGUUUUUCGGCUUGGGAUGGGCUCGCGGCCUAUCAGCUUGUUGGUGGGGUGAUGGCCUACCAAGGCGACGACGGGUAGCCGGCCUGAGAGGGCGACCGGCCACACUGGGACUGAGACACGGCCCAGACUCCUACGGGAGGCAGCAGUGGGGAAUAUUGCACAAUGGGCGGAAGCCUGAUGCAGCGACGCCGCGUGAGGGAUGACGGCCUUCGGGUUGUAAACCUCUUUCAGCAGGGACGAAGCGAGAGUGACGGUACCUGCAGAAGAAGCACCGGCCAACUACGUGCCAGCAGCCGCGGUAAGACGUAGGGUGCGAGCGUUGUCCGGAUUUAUUGGGCGUAAAGAGCUCGUAGGCGGCUUGUCGCGUCGACCGUGAAAACUUGGGGCUCAACCCCAAGCCUGCGGUCGAUACGGGCAGGCUAGAGUUCGGUAGGGGAGACUGGAAUUCCUGGUGUAGCGGUGAAAUGCGCAGAUAUCAGGAGGAACACCGGUGGCGAAGGCGGGUCUCUGGGCCGAUACUGACGCUGAGGAGCGAAAGCGUGGGGAGCGAACAGGAUUAGAUACCCUGGUAGUCCACGCUGUAAACGUUGGGCGCUAGGUGUGGGGGGCCUCUCCGGUUCCCUGUGCC
rnacentral:rRNA from 1 species